AGAUCCCUUGUUAGGGCUGUCCCUGGGUUGUGCUGUGGGCAGUGGUUUAGCUCAGGUUGAACAAAAGAGGCAAAAUGGAUCAAAAAUUGGGAGGAAGUCAAAAUAAUUGAUCCUGAGUUAAUUGAUAAGGACACAUUAUUUGCCACAGUCUGCUGAUGAAGGAAGAGAGAAGCUUAGAAAGGCAUGCUGUUUUGGCCAACUGCUGCUGAACAACAGAAGCUACCAGAUCAUCUGAUUACAGUUUCAGAACAUAGAGUCCAGUAGCAAAAUGAAGAAACAUGGAUUGUCAGCAGCAUUCAAGAUAUAUCACCUUUUAAAUAUUUGAACUAGAAGAUACCAGCAGAUUAAAGUUGUUAACUUGAAUAAAUACAAUAUACUGCUAA